rnacentral:rRNA from 1 species
GACGAACGCUGGCGGCGUGCCUAAUACAUGCAAGUCGAGCGAACAAGCGUGGUACUUGUUCCAACUGCGUGAGCAGCGGACGGGUGAGUAACGCGUGGAGAACCUGCCUUUGAGCGGGGGACAACUUCUGGAAACGAAUGCUAGUACCGCAUAAAAUCUUUAAACACAUGUUUUAAGAUUGAAAGAUGCAAUUGCAGUACCCAAAGAUGAUCUCGCGUUGUAUUUGCUAGGUGGUGAGGUAAAGGCUCACCCAGGCGAUGAUACAUAGCCGACCUGAGAGGGUGGAUGGCCACCAUGGGACCGGGACCCGGCCCAAGCUCCUUACGGGAGGAACAAUAAGGGAACUUCGGCCAUUGGCGGAAGUCUGGCCGGGCAACGCCGGGGGGAGGGAAAAAGGUUUCGGGUCGUAAAACUCUGUUGAUAGGGGAGAAAGAUAGUUGGAAUGGAAAGCGCAUCAAGUGACGGUACCUACUCAGAAAGCGACGGCUAACUACGUG